rnacentral:rRNA from 1 species
GAUGAACGCUGGCGGCGUGCCUAAUACAUGCAAGUCGAGCGAACAGACGAGGAGCUUGCUCCUUUCACGUUAGCGGCGGACGGGUGAGUAACACGUGGAUAACCUACCUAUCAGACUGGGAUAAUUUCGGGAAACCGGAGCUAAUCCCGGAUAAUAUAUUGAACCGCAUGGUUCAAUAGUGAAAGACGGUUUUGCUGGCACUUAUCGAUGGAUCCGCGCCGCAUUAGCUGGUUGGUAAGGUAACGGCUUACCAAGGCAACGAUGCGUAGCCGAACUGAGAGGGUGGUCGGCCGGACUGGGAGUGUGACCCGCUCCAGAGUCCUACGGAAGGCAGCCGGAGGGAUACGUCCGGAAAGGGCGAAAGCCUGACGGAGCAACGCCGCGUGAGUGAGGAGGGUCUUCGGAUGGGAAAACUCUGUUAUUAGGGAAGAACAAAUGUGUAAGUAACUAUGCACGUCUUGACGGUACCUGAGCAGAGAGCCACGGCUAACUACGUG